rnacentral:rRNA from 1 species
UGCAAGUCGAACGGUGAAGGGAGCUUGCUCCUGGAUCAGUGGCGAACGGGUGAGUAACACGUGAGCAACCUACCCUUGACUCUGGGAUAACAGUUGGAAACAGCUGCUAAUACCGGAUACGACCUCAGCAGGCAUCUGCCGAGGUGGAAAGCUCCGACGGUCAGGGAUGGGCUCGCGGCCUAUCAGCUUGUUGGUGGGGUAACGGCCCACCAAGGCGACGACGGGUAGCCGGCCUGAGAGGGCGACCGGCCACACUGGGACUGAGAUACGGCCCAGACUCCUACGGGAGGCAGCAGUGGGGAAUAUUGCGCAAUGGGCGAAAGCCUGACGCAGCAACGCCGCGUGCGGGAUGAAGGCCUUCGGGUUGUAAACCGCUUUCAGCAGGGACGAAGGGUUUCUGACGGUACCUGCAGAAGAAGCACCGGCUAACUACGUGCCAGCAGCCGCGGUGAUACGUAGGGUGCGAGCGUUGUCCGGAAUUAUUGGGCGUAAAGAGCUUGUAGGCGGUCUGUCACGUCGGAAGUGAAAACUCAGGGCUCAACCCUGAGCCUGCUUUCGAUACGGGCAGACUUGAGGAAUGUAGGGGAGAACGGAAUUCCUGGUGGAGCGGUGGAAUGCGCAGAUAUCAGGAGGAACACCAGUGGCGAA